rnacentral:lncRNA from 10 species
UGUGGGGCAGGUGAUGGUGAACAGGAACAUGAAUCAGAAAAGAAGCAAGAGUCCAAAAGGCAGUGAUGGGGUCUCACAAGUUGAAAGUGGGAAGAAGAAAAAAACAAAUUAUUGUAUUUCUUUAUUCAUUUCUCAACAGACUUUUUUAGUUGUUUCUUCAUCUUAGCUGUUUUGAAUGAUGCUGCCGUGAGCAUGGAGGGCAGCUGUCUCUUCAAAACUCUUCUUUCAUUUCCUUGGGGGGAAACAUAAAAGAAGAGAAUCACGUUCUUGGAAAUCAGACGGAUGAGUGUGCAAAAGAGAACAGGAAAGAACCAAAAUAAGGAUGAAAUACUUUGGAGAAGAGAAGAAUGAAAUCCAUGAGAAACAAAAGCAAAAGUGACAAACAGGGAAGAGUGCUGAGUUCAUAGGAAAUUUAUGUUUUCUUUCUGGAAAUUUUAAGUGGCUUGCAUGAUUGUGAGUUGUUUAGAAGAGGGCACUUGGAGGUGGACUGGGCUGCUGAAGGGGGUCAUUUUGAGAGACCUGUUGAAAUCCUCAAGCUGUAUUAUAUAAAUACAAGAUGUGCUAUUGAGAUGUGCUAUUAAGCUAGACACCUACCAGUGCUUCAAUCCUAUGCAUCCUCAAGUAGCCUUCAACAGUUAAUACAAGUUUUAAAAUACCUUUAGUUCUGAAAAUUGUUGAAAACGUUGAGAGUGAAAACAUUGAAAAAUCUCAAGUAUUUCAGGUAAUAAAGAAAUCAUUACUGGAUUUUUCUGUUUUCAAUUGCUAUUUCAUUUAUUUUCCUCACUCAAAACAUUCUUUGCCCAGGCUGAUGCAACUUAGUUUGCUUUAUUCACCCAAAAUAUAGGACUUGAUGUUUCCUUCCUUAUACAACUUCCUACUCAAAUCCCCUAUCUUCCUUAAAGGCCGUGAAGGUGUUCUCUGCUUCCUUAUCCUUUCAACCAGUCCCAGA